rnacentral:rRNA from 1 species
GACGAACGCUGGCGGCGCGCCUAAUACAUGCAAGUAGAACGCACAGUUUAUACCGUAGCUUGCUACACCAUAAACUGUGAGUUGCGAACGGGUGAGUAACGCGUAGGUAACCUGCCUGGUAGCGGGGGAUAACUAUUGGAAACGAUAGCUAAUACCGCAUAAUAUUAAUUAUUGCAUGAUAAUUGAUUGAAAGAUGCAAUUGCAUCACUACCAGAUGGACCUGCGUUGUAUUAGCUAGUAGGUGAGGUAACGGCUCACCUAGGCGACGAUACAUAGCCGACCUGAGAGGGUGAUCGGCCACACUGGGACUGAGACACGGCCCAGACUCCUACGGGAGGCAGCAGUAGGGAAUCUUCGGCAAUGGACGAAAGUCUGACCGAGCAACGCCGCGUGAGUGAAGAAGGUUUUCGGAUCGUAAAGCUCUGUUGUAAGAGAAGAACGGGUGUGAGAGUGGAAAGUUCACACUGUGACGGUAUCUUACCAGAAAGGGACGGCUAACUACGUG